rnacentral:rRNA from 1 species
AUUGAACGCUGGCGGCAGGCCUAACACAUCCAAGUCGAACGAGUGGCGGACGGGUGAGUAAUGUCUGGGAAACUGCCCGAUGGAGGGGGUUAACUCCUGGAAACGGUAGCUAAUACCGCAUACCAUCGGAUGUGCCCAGAUGGGAUUAGCUAGUAGGUGGGGUAACGGCUCACCUAGUCGACGAUCCCUAGCUGGUCUGAGAGGAUGACCGGCCACACGGGAUCGGAGACACGGUCCAGACUCCUACGGGAGGCAGCAGUGGGGAAUAUUGCACAAGGGGCGCAAGCCUGAUGCAGCCAUGCCGCGUGUAUGAAGAAGGCCUUCGGGUUGUAAAGUACUUUCAGCGAGGAGGCGUUACUCGCAGAAGAAGCACCGGCUAACUCCGUGCCAGCAGCCGCGGUAAUAC